rnacentral:rRNA from 1 species
GAUGAACGCUAGCGGCAGGCUUAAUACAUGCAAGUCGAGGGGCAGCAUGAUUGUAGCAAUACAAUUGAUGGCGACCGCCAAACGGGUGCGGAACACGCACACAACCUUCCAACAAGUAGGGGAUAGCCCAGAGAAAUUUGGAUUAAUACCCCGUAACAUAGCGAUGUGGCAUCACAUUGCUAUUAUAGAUUUUUCGCUUGUUGAUGGGUGUGCGGCUGAUUAGAUAGUUGGCGGGGUAACGGCCCACCAAGUCUACGAUCAGUAGCUGAUGUGAGAGCAUGAUCAGCCACACGGGCACUGAGACACGGGCCCGACUCCUACGGGAGGCAGCAGUAAGGAAUAUUGGACAAUGGACGCAAGUCUGAUCCAGCCAUGCCGCGUGAAGGAUUAAGGUCCUCUGGAUUGUAAACUUCUUUUAUAAGGGACGAAAAAAGGCUUUUCUAAGUCGUCUGACGGUACCUUAUGAAUAAGCACCGGCUAACUCCGUGCCAGCCGCCGCAGUAAAAC